rnacentral:snRNA from 1 species
AUACCUUUCUCGGCCUUUUGGCUAAGAUCAAGUGUAGCAUCUGUUCUUAUCAGUUUAAUAUCUGAUACGUGGACCAUUGGCUCACACGAUUAUUAAAUUCGUUUUUUCAUGGGGAAAAGCCCGUUUAGGUAGCUUGCUAUCUAGGUUUUCAUGCAUUUGCCACGUGUUGCACUAUUGCAUGGGCUUGCCGCACUCCAC